CCUACGGGAGGCAGCAGUGGGGGAUAUUGCACAAUGGGGGGAACCCUGAUGCAGCGACGCCGCGUGGGUGAAGAAGCGCCUCGGCGCGUAAAGCCCUGUCAGCAGGGAAGAAAAUGACGGUACCUGAAGAAGAAGCCCCGGCUCACUACGUGCCAGCAGCCGCGGUAAUACGUAGGGGGCAAGCGUUAUCCGGAUUUACUGGGUGGAAAGGGGGCGCAGACGGCGAUGCAAGCCAGGAGUGAAAGCCCGGGGCCCAACCCCGGGACUGCUCUUGGAACUGCGUGGCGGGAGUGCAGGAGGGGCAGGCGGAAUUCCUGGUGUAGCGGUGAAAUGCGUAGAUAUCAGGAGGAACACCGGUGGCGAAGGCGGCCUGCUGGACUGCAACUGACGUUGAGGCCCGAAAGCGUGGGGAGCAAACAGGAUUAGAUACCCCAGUAGUC
rnacentral:rRNA from 1 species